ACAAAAGGCGAGAGCGCGCAGCAGCCCACAGCAGCCGAGUUCGCGCCGCCGGUAGGUGCUGCCCUGCCAGGGGGGCGGGAUCGUGGAGCUCCUCGCAGAACCGCACGCAAGCAAAAACAAAGCCAUCUCUCCAAAGCAGAAAUAGAACAGACGUGGCCGGGGAAAGCCAAAUAUUUGUGAGAUGAUGUGAACAAAAGGGAAAAGUCAAUCCAGGGAAGUUUGAGUUUCUGGUUGGAGGCUUCAGCGGCUCUGAUCGGUGGAUACUUUAAGAGAACAUCCUUUGCCCCCGCUCUCCCUCUCUCCCCGAAGAAAAAUAAAUCCUUGGCAAAAUGAGACUUGACGGUAUGAAAAGAAGGUCUCCAGACUGUCCCAGCUGGCGCGGGCGGGGCCGGGGCCGAGGUGCCGCUUGGUGACACUGCAGCCGCAGCUCAGCACUGUCACCCAGAAAGGCCCGCCAACGCUUGUAUGCAGGGAACGUGGCUCUUAGCAGAGCCUGGACAGGCGCAGGGCCAAGGAAGUCUUUGUUUUUGUUUCUUUCUCUAGCCCUUCCUGUCAAUACAUCAGGGAUAUAACUCCUUGGUGUUUCUGCCUUACAAUUGCUCCUUAUACCCCACCCUGAUCCUCAGCACUGCAGCUCCCACUGCCACUGCCCGCUGUGAGUCACCUCCCCCUCUCCCUUUUUUAAACCAAACAGCAAGGCCAUAUUGCAGUUAUCCAUAAAUGGAAAGGCAAGAAGCCACCAAUACCUGUUUGAGAAGAUGGCAUUUUAAUUAGCACACUCCAGCUGCCAUAAACCCGGGCUCCUGCCCCACCUCUCUCCCCCACGCCCCCUCCUCCCCCUCCCCCGCCGUGCCCUCUCUCAACCUCCCUGCUCACCCCCAUCUAUGUAAAAAAGCCAUAAAGCCUCUCUCCAAUCGCUUUCUCGGAGGAAGUUUUUGCAACCCCCACAACACAGGUUGAUUGGAAAGGUCUCUCUCCUGGAUAACAACAAUUCAAUGUGCCUUGACAUUUUAAUAGCUUGCCGUCCUGGUGAACACAAUCGAGCAAGGCAGUGAAGCAAAAAUCAUUAGGUGGCUGGACUCAGACACAUCACGCUCCAGUUUGGGUUCCAAGGUGCUUCUCUCUGGAUUUUCACCUGCCUUGCCAAAAAUGAUUGAUUACGCUGGGCCAACUGGGUGUCCGGCAAUACCCAACAAAUGACUUUGGCCCCUAACAGCAGGCCUUGGCCAGAUAGAAAUCAAUAUUUCACCAUUAAAAUCUAUCAAAGAAGAGUUAAGGCACCAUCUGUCCCUGCCGCCUCUCUAUGGUGUGUGAACAUUAAAUCCGACACUUGUACUACAUGGGUAAUCAAUAUAUAGUGGUUCACAGAUCAUUUGUGGUCCCCUUUUCGCAGUGAUGGAUGUCUGGAAUCGUUGUGAUUCAUUUUGUCAGACCAUUAAACAAGAUUCUGUCCAGUUCCUUCCUGAUUUCA